GUAGGUGGCAAGCGUUGUCCGGAAUUAUUGGGCGUAAAGCGCGCGCAGGCGGUUCUUUAGGUCUGAUGUGAAAGCCCACGGCUCAACCGUGGAGGGUCAUUGGAAACUGGAGAACUUGAGUACAGAAGAGGAAAGCGGAAUUCCACGUGUAGCGGUGAAAUGCGUAGAGAUGUGGAGGAACACCAGUGGCGAAGGCGGCUUUCUGGUCUGUAACUGACGCUGAGGCGCGAAAGCGUGGGGAGCAAACAGGAUUAGAUACCCUGGUAGUCCACGCCGUAAACGAUGAGUGCUAAGUGUUAGGGGGUUUCCGCCCCCCUUAGUGCUGCAGCUAACGCAUUAAGCACUCCGCCUGGGAGUACGGCCGCAAGGCUG
rnacentral:rRNA from 1 species